rnacentral:lncRNA from 1 species
CAUAUUCCAUUCUACACGGAUCAGAUCAAGCUAGUUUUACUCUAUGAUUAUCCAGUGAUAAAAAUACAACCUGAUAUACUGCACGGAGAAUAAAAUUCAAACUCCUUGGUCCUAGUGAUCUGGCCCAUGCCACCUUUUCCAACCCCAUUUCACACCACUUGCUAUACUUGCCAUGCUGUGUGUAUUUCUGUCCCUCAACACACCAAGCUCGUGCUAUCCAUUCUCCUUAGGACUUUGCGUAACUGACCCCUUCUCUUCAUUCAGGUCUCAGAUCAAAUAUCACCACCUCGAAGUAGAGGCCUUCCAGAUGACCAUUUGUAAAGUAGUCCCUCCUAUCACCAUCUAUCAAAUUAUUCAAUUUUAUUUUCUUAAUAACUAGCUAAAAACAAUUUAUUUGCUUUUGAUGUUUUCUAGUUUGUUAUCUGACUCCCUCAGAAGAAUAUACUUUCCACACAAACGUUACCUGUCUUAUUUUCCUAAUAUCCCCAAGCAUAGAACCAUGUCUGGCACACAGUGGUGCUUAUUAGAAUAUUUGUUAAGUAAAGGAAUGUAUAAGAAUCUUCAUUGUGAUGUUGUUUAUCAUAUCCCAAAAAAACCCAAAAUAGUAUGAAUGUCCAUCAGUGAGAAAUGGUUAAAUAAAUGAAGGUACAUAAUGUGGAAAUUUCUAUGGUCAUUAAAAAUUGAGACGGGCCGGGCGUGGUGGCUCAAGCCUGUAAUCCCAGCACUUUGGGAGGCCGAAGCAGGCGGAUCAUGAGGUCAGGAGAUCGAGACCAUCCUGGCUAACACGGUAAAACCCUGUCUCUACUAAAAAAUACAAAAAAACUAGUCGGGCGAGGUGGCGGGCGCCUGUAGUCCCAGCUACUCGGGAGGCUGAGGCAGGAGAAUGGUGUGAACCCGGGGGGCGGAGCUUGCAGUGAGCCGAGAUCAUGCCACUGCACUCCAGCCUGGGCAACAGACAGAGACUCCGUCUGAAAAAAAAAAAAGUUGAGAUGACCCAUUAAGAAGCAAGAAUGUUUUCAAGGUAUGGUUGAUUUUCUAAAAGCAAGGUGUGGAACAAUAAGUAUGCUAUAAUUCAAGAUUUGUAAGAUAUCAAAAAUACAUGUAUACGUUAAUGUUUUGGACUAUCCCAUGUAAGGGUGAAAGGGAGGGCUCCCCUUGGCCCUCUGAGGAUUUGCUGAAAUACCAACUGGCAAAAGGCAGGUUAAUUGGAGAAAAGGCAUACAAAUUUAUUUAAUGUGCAUACACAGGGGACUUCAGGAUGAAGAACAAGGAUACAGGGGGAAAUUGUCCAUUUUUAUGUUUAGGUUCAACAAAGUAUGAACAGCCAUAUAGAAAUAGGAUUAGACAAAAGAAAAAAAAAAGAAAAGAAAAGAAAAAAAA